AGUAGGGAGUACGCGGAGUUGAACCAUGGACCUCUCGAUCUGUAGUCGAAUGAUCUACCGAAUGCUCCAAUGGCCCCCGAUCCUUAC
rnacentral:tRNA from 1 species